GAUGAAGAACGUAGCGAAACGCGAUAUGUAAUGUGAAUUGCAGAAUUCAGUGUAUCAUCGAAUCUUUGAACGCACAUGGCGCCUUCCAGUAUCCUGGGAGGCAUGCCUGUCCGAGCGUCGUUUCAACCCUCGAGCCCCCGUGGCCCGGCGUUGGGGAUCUGCCCAGGCAGUCCCCGAAAACCAGUGGCGGACCCGUUACAGGCCCUUCCCUUGCGUAGUAGCAUUCGCCUCGCAUCGGGAGCCGGCGGGCUUCCAGCCUCUAAACCCCCAUCAAGUCCGCCCCGGCGGCACCAAGGUUGACCUCGGAUCAGGUAGGAAUACCCGCUGAACUUAAGCAUAUCAAUAAGCGGAGGA
rnacentral:misc_RNA from 1 species